CAUCCCUACCUUCGUUAUCUUGCCGUGCGUUGUUGCUGCUAUCCAGUAUCCACCGCUGCCCGUCCGGCCAAGCUACUACUGGCAUGCUGCUCCUACGCUGCCGCGUGAGGGACGCGCACGCGCUGCUGCCAGGCGAGGCCGAGUCGGGGGGCCAGGCGCCCGCGCCCAUGCCGCCUCGUGCGCUUGCGCCGACUUGCCAGCUGCAGACCAGGAUAGCCUCAGAUCAAAACCUGCCGUGGCUGCAAGAGGCGGGGAGGAGACACAGGCCAGCUGCCAGCGGUCUUCCUAGCCGCACUCCUCCCAGCGCCGCUUCCCUUUCCACCGUGUGCCAUCGAUGAUGCGGCCAUGCGCCCGCGCCCACGCCUGGGGCCACUCCGGUGGCAGCCAGUAGCGCGCCCAAGGGACCCGUUGGCGGGCCUCCCUGCCACGCGAACGGGGAUGGGGCGCCGCCGCUCCCUCCGCCAGCCGCAUCUUGCACACCACCACCCGAUCCGCCCCUUUCAGCCACCGGGGGUCCUCUUCCAGCCGGUGCCGCCGCCUCGCCUCGCACCAGUACAGGGGCAAUUUCAAGUCCUGCGCCUCACGGAAGGGGAGGAAGCCGCGAGGAGCCAUAAAUUUCGACUUUGCCUCGCUAGUGUAAAAUGCCGACGGGCUUCUGGGUGCUUCACGACCAAAGCCGUUUUUUAGUAGGCCAUUUGGUACAGCUUCUGCAGAAGUCGUCGGAGAAGCCGUUCAAUAAGCCCUACCAAAGAGGCCUUUAGUAACACAAUGAGAACCAUACCUUUCUAGCAGGUAAGUACCAUCUUUAAGAAAAAUCUUAUACUCCUAUAUCUCAAUAUCGAUGGAAUAUUUUCGUUGAGAUAUGAUUUUAGCUUCUCCGGGGAAAGAGUGGUAGAUAGAGGACUGAAACAUCCACUUUUAGCUUCUCUGGUGAGAGGAGAACUCAAAAAAGUAUAUAAUAUUUUCGUUGCGAACACAAGUACAUGUGCUAAUAUUAUUCAUACACAUCUUUGUAUUUUAUUUAGUACAAAUGAAAGAACUCGUGGAGCUUACACCAAUAAUUUCUAUAUAAGAUGUAGUGGGGUUUACAAUUUUUUUGGAAUCGGGAAGGGGGGGCGUCCCUAGGUACGUACUUUGUGCAGGGAUCUUAGGGUGUGUUUGGAUGGAGGGACGGGACGGGACAGGGUCAUCCCACUUUUACAUGUGUUUGGUUGGAGGUCAGGUGGGACGAGGAUGGUAUCAAAGUGGAAUAUUCCUUGAAAAAGAGGGAUGGAACGGUUCCUCUGAAUCGGUCGGACCGAUCCAUCCCAGUUCAACGGCGUAAACACCGUGACGAGCGAGCGCACGUCCAACUCUAGCGUAGCGCCACGAGAAAAGCCAGGCGGCGAGGGCACGGAGCUCGGGCGGCGUGGGAAUGGAGCCUGGGCGGUGGGGAGGGUGGAGCCUGGCGGCGUAGGGAACCAGUCCCGGAGGAGAAGGGGAAGGCAAGCUCGGUGGCGCAGGGGAUGGGACAGCGGCGGAGCAAGGCCGGGGCCGCGUCGGGCCACAGCAGCGGCGGCAGGAAGAGCAUGGCUCGGGCGGUGCGGGUGGCCGCGCGACAACAAGCUGAGGAAGGGGAUGAGGCCCUACUCUGAGGCUGAUAGUACACCUCACAGCUAAUGAAAUACAAACACCGUUUAUUUCAUCUGUCCUCGUCCCUCCCACCAAACAACGAAACUGGGACGCCCCCAUCCCUCCAACUAAACACCAAGUGGGAUCAUCUCAUCCAUUAAAAAAGAGGAUGAUCUUGUCCCGUCCCACUUGUCCCUUCAUCCAAACACACCCUUAAGGGCAGGACGCUCAACGCAAGCAUACAACAAUAGUGGUCUCAUUCUGCACAUAAGCAAAAUAUAUCCAGGACACUAUUUAAACUUCUAACCUCACAAUGCAAGCACCUAUUAGUAGUGCAGUACCAUACGCUUUAUCCCAAACUCUGAACAAAAGUGCGGCGACUGCCUCCGGUGUUGUGGCUACUCUUGUAGCCCCGAGCUGGAGGUAGGCACUGAAGCUACGGUGGUGACUACUUCUAGUGUCGUGGCUACCCUUGUAGCCCCCGAGUUAGAAGUAGAGGUUGAAGCUGUAGGAGCACUGGAAAUCUUGUCUUCCAUCCCACCUUUCGAGGUGGGUCCGUCGACCAGCCACGCCAUGGCCUCCAUCCCGUCAUCCGAGGCGGGUCUGUCGACCAGCCGCGCCUUGGUUCCGAUUGGUGCAACAAUCACCGAACAACAUGAGGAACCAUGGAUAGUUGAGGGGGUGAACCUAGAAGACAUCCAACUCAUCGCUGACCCACUGCUCACCAUAGAGAGGGAGGUCACGAUGAUGGAGAUGUACCGCCGUGUAGGCGAAUACACAACGGAUUUGAUCAAGCACUCCCACCAGAAGUCGGAGAUGCUCCAGGGCUAUGGAGACACCGUCAUGCGCGCUGAGGCACUUGAGCGUAAACUGGCAAGGAGCGGGAGUACUCCUCCUAGCUGCUAAUGAAGUAUGACGGCCAACCCGCUAAGUAUCGCAACCUUAUCCAUCGACCUCGGAAAUGCAACAAGGCUUUGAAGCGUCAACUUAAAGUGCUCGAGAAAACCAAGGAAGAUCUCCAAGGCCGACCCACUUAUUGGCAGAACUCCUACUACCGGGUGUCUGAUCAGCAUGACAAAUUGUUUGCUCUGUACAACAACUUGGAGCACCACCUGGAGAAGGAGACGAAGAUGCGCGCUAAUGGGGAGGUCAACUUGGUGAACACUAUGAAGAGUAUCCAAGAGCGCGAGGCUGAGCUAGCGGCCACAAAGCUUGCUCUGAAGGAGCUGACUGAAGCCACUCAACCCAUUGUUGAUGUGAUGGAGCCCCUAGCAGAAAGUGUGGAGCCCCGCCCUCUAGCAGAGAUACUCAAGGAAGUGACGGGGACAGUUUCUUGGAAGUAGCGAAAAAUUGCAUCAUCGAAUUUAGCACUUGAGUAGUCACUGACAACUCCACGGCUUCCGUGUCGCAAUCGUAUGAUCUCUUUAAGUCUCCGCGUAGGGAGAGUACUCCCUUGGGU